UCGUCGGUGGCAUAAAAGGGAAUCCGGUGUGAAUCCGGAACAGUGCCCGCUACUGUAAUGCCCCUUGUGUUGAAAAGUUUCUUACACCACUGUCCUAUAGGUUGGAUGGGAAGGUUGCUUUUCAGGGUAAAGUCAGGAGACCUGCCACAAUCAAU
rnacentral:ncRNA from 1 species